rnacentral:lncRNA from 1 species
UCAUUUAUUAUAAAAUUUUGGGGUUUUUUUUGGAGAUUUAUAGAGUCAAAGGGUAUUAUAAUCAAAAAAGGGGUAUUGGUGUCCUUCUUUGAAAACUUGAGGGUCUUUGUGACAAUUUCCCUAAAUCUUAGAGGUGUAGUUGUCUUUUUUUCUAAAUACUAAAAAAUAAUAAUAAUCACUAGAAACAGUCAAAAUUAACAAAUAAUUAGGCCUAAACCAUUACACUUAUUAGGAUUGCCAGAACAAAUUGCAAGUGUUGGAAAUAAGUGUUCGUCCAAUAGCAGCUCAUUGCCAACCAUUUGAUGGGCAAAUGUAAUGACAUUAAUUUUUUGUGUUUAUUAAGAACAGUCUUUUAUUUAGAUGACUGGAUGGAGUUUUACUAAACCCAGAUUUUUCCUGAAAAUAAGAUGGACGAUUUACAUUUAGAUCAUAAUGUAAAAUUAUAUGAAGCAUUAUGAAGAGUUAGACACCGACUAAAAAUAAUUUUUAGGCUAUAUAUAUCAAUUUGGAUAACGUAUUCUUAACUCAUGACUUAAUUUUUGAAUAUAUCAUUAGUCUAGAGCUUCUAAAAAUAUUGCACUCAAAAGCGUUUAUGUGCUAACAAUAGGCUCACUUGCUUGGUUCAGGCAAAUUUUCUUUGUCAACCGGGCCUAUGAGGUGCAAAUUUUCAGAUAUAAAUUUUCGCUUGCAUUCUGCAACCAACCUUAAUUCAUACAUAUUGAAUAUUAAAUAGUAAUUAUUUAACAAGAUGUUCUUAGGAUUCAUAGCCUAAAGCUACAUUCAUGUUUUAAAAUAAGAAUUUUAUUGUGGGCAUUUUCAUGUAAACGAUUCGGAACUACCUGCCGUAAAAAAGUUUACAUCGUAUAACGUUAGUACGACAAGUCAUGUGACGCCUCAAAAUAAAUUUGACACGUCUUUUAUAUAUUUUUCGCCGAGAUGACAGCUCUUGAUCCUUAUCACUUGGCGCCAAAACCAACUUUUCAUAAACUCCUCCUUCUCCAAUAACACAUAUUCGCACUAAAACCUCCAAUUGUUUGUAAUAUAAACCCACUUCAUUUCAAAGCUAAGCAAAUAUAAAUACUCAUAGCUACCCAUCCUCGUUGUAUGCAUCCCCUGUUAAGCAAAAGGUCUGCUGCAUUAGCAUGGUGAUAGCAUAGAGUUUGAGAACUCUAAAAUUAAGUUGCCUAAAAAGGAUAGCAAUUUGAUCUGAAAUCAUUUAUCCCCUUUUACACGAUUUAAUUUCUCAGUGAUGUAUGUAUAGAGUUUCUGAACUGGAGUAAAAACUUGAAACAUAAUGUACGGUGCAGAAAGAACAAUACAUAAAAGCAACAACAAUUAAACAAAUGUAUGUAUGAUUGCAGUUACAAUCACACAAAUUAAAAGAAAUUUGAUGAGUCAAAUCAGAUACAGCAACGUUCAAAUCACGUGCCAGUUUACGAUAGGAAAAAGGAAAAACUGAUCACAUAAGCAAAUUCACUUUCAUGUCUGUUGAAGCAUAAUAUUAUUACAAUAUUGAACAUUAAUUCUUUCAUUAAAGAAAAAAUCUACAUAAUUCCUAGAUGAAAUUCAAAAUUAACUUUAUUGGCUGACAAAUUAAUAUUGACCAACAAUGAUGGUUAUUAACAACAUAAAAAAUAAAGUUUAGUCUUAUAAAAUCAUUAAUCACCGUUUGCCUCUCCUGUAAACUGGAGUUAUGUUUCUUUUGUGAGGAAAAUUGAACCCUCAAGAACACAGACAAUUCAAACCAAACCCUGUUCCAGCUAUUGCUAAUUUAACCAAAGGAUUUGUUUGACCUUGCAAUUUAAGCAUUUGGCUUUGCCUCUCCUAGUUCUCUUGCUGCUCACAGGAGCAUUUUCAUCUGCAAAAAUAGCCGAGGCUUGUUAAUAACUUGAACUUAAUAAUAAAUUACAAAAAACUUAAUUAAAUUAAAUUGUCCUUAAUAAUAGGUGCUACAUUUUUCUGCUAAGAAUGGGUGCUGAAUUUUUUUUUUUUUUUUUAAGGGUGCAAUAGCCCCCAGCCAAUUGCGAAAUACUCGCACCUUGAUAUAUUCUUGUCAUUACUUUUUACUGUCAACAUUCCUAAUUGAUCUUAACAUUUUACGAAAAAUAUAUGUAUAUACCUGAAUCUUUCUUCUCUGCCAGCAGGAUAAGAUUAUGAAAGUUUAAGUUAAUAAAAAAUUAAACCAUUUGAUCAUUAUUCUUGAAUACCCAUAUUACAUGCAUCUGGCAAUUGUUAUGCAAUUUGCUGCAAAUGAACUAUUCUACGCACUUCAUUUUUACUUUGAGAUGUGCGUGGAUCUAAAUGAGACAGAUCGGUCACUUUUCACUAAGGAUCAUGCCUAACCUUAUAGAUAUUUUUUCUUUCUCCUAAUGGAGGAAAAUUUGUCUCAUCAAAAUGAUAAUUCAUAAAUCGUGCGGUAAAUACAUCACCCUUCAGUGGUUUAAGAUAUCUGAUAAUAGAUGGUGAGUUAAAUCUCACAUAUAUUCCCAAUCGACAUUGGAGUCCCAUUUUCAUUUGUACUUUAAGAUACCGUUUAAUGGUUUUACUCAAUCAUUUUCAAAUAGUUUUAUUUAACUAAUCACUCAAGUUUAAAUAUUGAGACCAAUCGCUUUACCUUUUUAAUAGAUUAAAAAGAAUAUAUUUUUCAACCCAUUUGAAAUUGCUAUUGACUUUUUAUAACCACUGAUUAAUAAAAUAUUGGCACAUGGCAAAAUUUUUUUCUUAAAUUUUUUUCAAAAAACGUGACAAGUGUCAGAGUAUGAUUAGUUGGUGGCUCCAUAUAUGAUUUUGACAUGAAAUCAUUGGUCUACCAUAGAAUUUCUGACUGGCGAUGCUGACCAUAUAUUCAUAAGAGUAAUUAAAUUAUAAUAAUUUGUAAGAUUUAAUUUAAUUAUAUUAAUUUGGAAGAUUUAAUUUUAUAAUAACAAAUUAAAUAAAGAAUAAAUAAUAAAAAGACCAAGUAACUCACCUCAAAGUAAGAACCAAGCUUAGCUUUGAGAGACUUACUUUUUUAAAGUAAUUUUAUAUUUUUGUUUUUCUAAUUUUUAUUAUUAUUAAUACUCUCACAAAAACUAGUCCUAAAAACGUCUGAAAUACAUAACUCCUACAGUACUUGCGGCCUUCACCAAAACUAUAAAUUUCACCUUUUUUCCUAUAAAUGGAACAAUGAGAUGAUGUCUCCUCGAUGACAUGGUAUUUGUGAAGUUGAAUUCGAAAUAAUUUUAAUAAAAGUAAGAUAUUAUUUUUUAAUGAUUAUAUGGAAUAAUAAUCAUUACAAUCACAACUGAAAAAAAAUAAAAAUAUGAGUGAUCACAACAUUUGAUUCCUAACUGUGAGUUCCAACUACUGUUUUAACUGACGAAUUAGAGUUAAAAUAGGCUAUAUCCUCAUCAUUGGUAUUUUUAUUGUCUACGAUCAAAAUGAAUCGUUACAAGGUAAUUAUCAAAAUGUCUUUAGUUAAUUAUUAUCCUCAGUAUUAUUAUUAUUAUCCAUUAUAACAAUAACAAUAACAAUACAAAAAAAUAGUAAUAACAAUAACAACCACAACAACAACAAUAAUAUUUUAAUAGGCACAUAUGCUUUAGAUAAAACAGUUGUUUAAUGUUUUGUAGACAAACAACUAGUUGUACCUAAGAGAAAGAAGUAGACGACAUGUCUUCCUAUACUUUCAUAUAACCGACAUGUGUAAAUAAUAUGUGCUGGUGCAUAUGCUAGUUGACUUGUGGUUUAUUUUUUAAAAUGUAACCGACAUGUCAUAUUUUUCAUAUAUAAGAUAAAGACACGACGUCUACUUAUUUUCUUGACAAACGACACAUCAUCUUUAAUGUUGAAUUCCCAAGGAUUUUAAUAAAAGUAAGAGAUUAUUUGUUUUUCAAUAGUUACUCGAAUAAUAAUCCUUACAAUUGUAAUUGUGAAAAAAAAUAAUAAUAAACAAAAUAUGAGUGAUCACAAUUUUUGAGUUCUAAUUUGGAGUCCCAACUAUGGGUCAUUCAUCUAUUAAAUCAUGAAUUUUAUAAUUCAUAAAUUACAUAUUUAUCAUCUAAUAGAUAUGUUACUCAAUUUUAAGGUAAUUAUAAUAAGAAUUCCUAUUACAACUGCGACUAUUGAUUACAAUUAAAGCCAUGAUUACGAUUAUGUGUAAUAUUUUAUUAAAAUGAUAUAAAAUAUGCUAUUUUAAUUAGUUAACUGGUAAGUACAAAACGCAAACAACCAUUUAACAGAUUUUCAUAUUCAAAUUUAGUGAUUUUUUAAAUUAAAAAGAAACUACAUAAUAUCAUAUGAAAUAGAAAUUAAUGAUUGCCUUCUAUCUAUAAUGUUCAUCAAUUUACAAAUGAACAACAUUAAUUCAUUAAUCAUUAAUCUUGCAUUUAGUCAUAAUCAAAUGGGAAUUUGAUUGAUGGUUGGGCACACUUGAGUUAUUUAAUUUCUUCUACACCUAUUUCAUUUAAAAACAUGUAUUUAUAAGCAAUAUUUUAAAAUUUUAAAAUCUGAAUAUUAACUCAAUUAUGUCAUUCUCUAAUUUACUCUUCAGUUUGUUCCAAGGUUUUUUUUUUAUCUUUUACUUUUUCAUUUCAAAAAUAUCAAAUAAAAAAAAAUAUUUCAAAGUAAAAUAAAUUUUUAUGCUAAAAACGCUUGAAACUUUCAAUUUGUGAUGGCCUAUAUAGUAGAAUAUGUGGAUCUGAAUUUGCCCAUUUAUGAGAGACAAGCAUUAACAUUUGCUUGCAAGUGAACAUUGAAAGAAAAUAUGUUGAGUGGUGAGAAUAUGAGGAAUCGGAAAUCGAAAAUAAAGGUUGAUUAGAUAAUUUCAUUGAAAAAAAUAUUUUGGCAAAAAAAUAAUAAUAACUAAGAAAAGGCUGUUAAAAGAAAAUUGGUGGGUUAUUUGAAAUAUUCCCAUCAAAAUAUGAUAUACAUAAUUUCUUACAAAAGUUAAUUUUAGGAAAAAAAAUUAUAACAUGAUCUAAGUUGUCAAAUUAUUUGUGAUAUUUUUUUGAGAUAAAAAUUUAUGAUGUGUAACACUACUCUUAAUUGAAAAAUGAUUGAUGACAUAUCCAUAGCUAUUUGUUUACUUCAUUUUUAUGAUUAUGUAAUUGUAGAAGAAUUACUUAUCUUCGUAUUUACAUAUGCUUAAAAUUAAAUAA